GCUGGCGGCGUGCCUAAUACAUGCAAGUCGAGCGAGCUGAAUUCAAAGAUUCCUUCGGGAUGAUUUGUUGGACGCUAGCGGCGGAUGGGUGAGUAACACGUGGGCAAUCUGCCCUAAAGACUGGGAUACCACUUGGAAACAGGUGCUAAUACCGGAUAACAACAUGAAUCGCAUGAUUCAAGUUUGAAAGGCGGCGUAAGCUGUCACUUUAGGAUGAGCCCGCGGCGCAUUAGCUAGUUGGUGGGGUAAAGGCCUACCAAGGCAAUGAUGCGUAGCCGAGUUGAGAGACUGAUCGGCCACAUUGGGACUGAGACACGGCCCAAACUCCUACGGGAGGCAGCAGUAGGGAAUCUUCCACAAUGGACGCAAGUCUGAUGGAGCAACGCCGCGUGAGUGAAGAAGGUUUUCGGAUCGUAAAGCUCUGUUGUUGGUGAAGAAGGAUAGAGGCAGUAACUGGUCUUUAUUUGACGGUAAUCAACCAGAAAGUCACGGCUAACUACGUGCCAGCAGCCGCGGUAAUACGUAGGUGGCAAGCGUUGUCCGGAUUUAUUGGGCGUAAAGCGAGCGCAGGCGGAAUGAUAAGUCUGAUGUGAAAGCCCACGGCUCAACCGUGGAACUGCAUCGGAAACUGUCAUUCUUGAGUGCAGAAGAGGAGAGUGGA
rnacentral:rRNA from 1 species